GAGGCAGAAGGCAAUGGAUUCUGCCUGACCGUUCCCGGUCGAACCGCUUCAUCCGGAAGCUGAUGAUUCCUGUCCCUCG
rnacentral:ncRNA from 20 species